rnacentral:rRNA from 1 species
AUUGAACGCUGGCGGCAUGCCUUACACAUGCAAGUCGAACGGCAGCACGGGUGCUUGCCCCUGGUGGCGAGUGGCGAACGGGUGAGGAAUACAUCGGAACAUGUCCUGUAGUGGGGGAUAGCCCGGCGAAAGCCGGAUUAAUACCGCAUACGAUCUACGGAUGAAAGCGGGGGACCUUCGGGCCUCGCGCUAUAGGGUUGGCCGAUGGCUGAUUAGCUAGUUGGUGGGGUAAAGGCCUACCAAGGCGACGAUCAGUAGCUGGUCUGAGAGGACGACCAGCCACACUGGGACUGAGACACGGCCCAGACUCCUACGGGAGGCAGCAGUGGGGAAUUUUGGACAAUGGGCGAAAGCCUGAUCCAGCAAUGCCGCGUGUGUGAAGAAGGCCUUCGGGUUGUAAAGCACUUUUGUCCGGAAAGAAAUCCUUGGCUCUAAUACAGUCGGGGGAUGACGGUACCGGAAGAAUAAGCACCGGCUAACUACGUG